ensembl:lncRNA
CCGAGGUGAUUUUACUGCAUCUUCAAACCCAAAGAAAACGAAUAAAGGAAAGAAAAAAAAGGAAAAACAGUGCCUUGUUAUUAUUAUUAGGACGACGUCGCGCUCACAGGCGGCGGGGGGGGGCCAUUGCCAGAUGAUAUGAGCCGGGGCCGGGGGCCGCCCUCCGGGGUGCAGAAUACGUGAGACCCCCAAGUCAGGGGGACCGGACAGCACACACAACGGGGGAGAGGUGAGCGACAACACUGUUGGAUUCAACAGGGGGGGGGGUCCGCUGGCAUAGAACCAUCACACAGGAAGUCCAACCGGAGCGUUGGUUCCACUCCAUGAUGCAGAAUAUCGCCCGGUUGUUCCAUUUCUUUAAGGUGAAUUGCUGCAGUGAAAGGUUUGGGGGCCGGUUUGGCAUUAAGGAGGGUCUUCUGAUCACCUCGAUCAGAAGACCCAGCGCCCCCCGGCCCGAUACCCUGGUUUAUGGGGACAGGGUUCACCUGUAGGGUUAGCUUCAAGAGUUAGCUUGUAGAGCUAGCGUGGCGCUACACCAGCAGGGUUAAGGGGGGGGGGGGACCUCCAGGAACGAUAAUAAUUAUAAUAAUAAUAAUAAUAAUGAUAACAACAGGUUACACCGAGCCCUCCGGUCCUGGGGGGCCGGCCCCCUGCUCGUAUCGGUUUGGUUUGGUUUUGAUGUCCACAUGAAACAAAAUACUUUUACUUUCUUUUUUUCCUUUGGAAUAUGAUAUUCUUGCAGGUCAUACACAUCCAUAUAGAGAGAUGAAGUCGUUAUUUUUUGGUUUUUCAGCGUACAAAGGUAAGCUGGGUGACUAUAUAUGAAGACAACAGCUACAACUUCCACAGCACUGGCAUCGGUUAUUUGUUCUUUUAAAUACAGUACUCAAGCAUUGUUAGAUUAAUAAAAACUGAAAAACAAAACAAAACUGAAAAAAGAGGGAAAAAAAAAACAGGAAACAAAAAUAAAACAUGUUACCCCCACCCCCCCUUCCCCAGUAAAUAGAAUCUACCGUACUGCUAUUGGUCGGCCCUAUAAAACCAUUUCCUCUGCAUCUGAAUGACGUACCUUUGAGCGGUGGACCAAACCAACGCGUCUACCCACAGGGGGGGGUCCUUACAGUACGGGACCAUGCAUUAAUCUCAUGUCACUUGAUUCGAUGCGCGGGAUUAACUUGUUUUUGCGUUUCGUUUCUGUCGGUUGAGAGUUACUGACGCUCCGCUGACUUCAUGACGUCUGGUUCCACGUGGGUUAGGAUGGCGUUGUCUUCACAUAGACCCGGGGGGG